GGGGUUCUAGCUCAUCGGUAGAGCGCUCGCUUAGCAUCCGUACUUGUGUGGUUGCGAGAGGCGCUGGGUUCGAUUCCCAGGUACUCCA